rnacentral:rRNA from 1 species
GACGAACGCUGGCGGCGUGCUUAACACAUGCAAGUCGAACGGAAAGGCCCUGCUUUUGUGGGGUGCUCGAGUGGCGAAAGGGUGAGUAACACGCGAGUAUCCUGUCCCUGACUUUGGGAUAACUUUAGGAAACUGGGGCUAAUAUCGGAUAUGAGCUCCUGCUGCAUGUUGGGGGAUGGAAAGUUUCGGCGGUUGGGGAUGUACUCGCGGCUUAUCAGCUUGUUGGUGGGGUAGUGGCUUACCAAGGCUUUGACGGGUAGCCGGCCUGAGAGGGUGACCGGCCACAUUGGGACUGAGAUACGGCCCAGACUCCUACGGGAGGCAGCAGUGGGGAAUAUUGCACAAUGGGCGGAAGCCUGAUGCAGCAACGCCGCGUGCGGGAUGACGGCCUUCGGGUUGUAAACCGCUUUCGCCUGUGACGAAGCGUGAGUGACGGUAAUGGGUAAAGAAGCACCGGCUAACUACGUG